GCCGCAAACAAAAUCUUUUUGCAAUGGUUUUUUUUUUAAUAAAUCACUGGCAAUUCCUUUUUCUUUUUAAGAGAAGGUUGAUUUUUAAAAAGGAAUUUGGCUCUCGAGAUAAAAUCAAAGACCUUUAAAACAAAGCCGAGCCAAAUCUUUGGUUUGAAAACCACUUUGUUGUUGAAAAUCAAAACUUUUGUUUUUCUGAAGCGAUUUUGUCAUACCUUUUGAAAGAUAACUUAUUUUUAAAUCAUUUCAUAAAUAGAGUUUGAAUAAAAUUGAGUUGAGAAAAGGGUUAAAAUGGCUCUCUUUGUGAAAACGAAAGAUAUUAAGAUUGUUUUGAAACACUUUUCCUUUUGAAACAAGGAUGCUUUUGUUAGAGAGGGGACAUUUUAACCAAAAGGAGAGAAAAUUUUGAAGACAGGUUCAUUUUGGAAGCCAAAAACAGUUUUGAAAUAGGCGAGCAACACAUGAUGCAACAGCUUUACCUAACUUUUAACUUUGUUAGUCAGGGCCACCUAUCUAGUCUCGGGACGGUCUUAGGUUUAGCCGACUAGGUUGGACGGAAUCCAGAGUUUUUCCCGCGUAAAACAGGUUCUAUGACUUACACUCAGACAUCAAGAAGCAGAAGAAAUGCAACAAAAUAAGAUCCAGGCACUCAAACAGCAUUACAACUCCUAAUGCAUAGUGUUGACUUGAGGCGACUCACAGACCUUCAAAGUCUCACACGACUACCGAUCUAGCGUGGGCGGUAAUGGGGAAAGAUCCCAACGGUCAACUUUAUGAAACAGGGAGGUCAGUUAGCAGCAGAAUUCAAGGCGAAGGGGGAAAACAAGUGUUGGCAUCUAUAACUCUACAAAAGAUAGAAUGUUUGGCUUCUAAACUAGUGUUUGGUCCUAAAGGUCUCGUCCUAGGGUCAAGUAUGGCUCUGAUACCAACUGAUACGACCCAGAUUUUUCCACAAAGGGAAAAAUCCACAGAUUCGAAUUAUAAUGUGAUAAUUCAAAAAUUGAACCAUCGCAUUAUCAUAUAUCAGCUGUUAUCGUAGUCAUACAUCGUGAGAAACAAGAUUACAACACAUUUGCUUUACAACUCUUGAUUAACAAGCUUAUUACAUUGUUUUUCUAGCGGAAACACACGCGAGUCUUUAUCAGAGUCGAUGUAGCGCGACAGCGGUGAAGGCUCCUCCUUCACGGACAAUCAUCAGAGUCGGCGUAGUUUAUCAGCGGGCGUAGCCUUCAUCUCUGAACCAAACUUGAGCGCAGGAACGAGACCACCUAAUCCUUCUAUUCUCCGUAGUUAUCGUCACGUUCAAAACCUGCUAAACAAUUUUCAGUAUGAUUUGUACUGGCCACUGGCUCCCACCCUAUGCUUUUGCGUAAGCUUUGUGGUAAGUGGAAUGAAAAAGGGUAGAUCAAGAGGCCUAUAUAUGGCUGUAGUUUUUCCUAUGCAAGUUCAUCAAUAUUUUAAUAAUAAUAAUUCAUCAAGUUUUAAUCCAUCUCAACCACACGUCCAUCCAUCCAUCCAUCCAUCCCAUCACACACAACUUACCACACUCUCACUCUCUAGGCGGCAAGUACGACUCCCGCUCGUGCCUUGCCUCAACGGCCAACGCCGGAUCCAACACAAACCCAGGGGAAGGUAGAAAGGACUCCUCUCACUAGUCAAGCGAAGCGGAACAUAGGAAAGGUCCAUAGCCGAGAAGACGGCAUAUGUAUCGAUCGAUCAACCAAACUCUGCAGAGGUUUACACUAACCACAAGAUCACCAUCAUCGACGAACCGGCUCGUCUAGGCUGAUACCGGGCUGCCUUCCAACUAAAUACGAUGCCACCCUACCACUCAGGACUGGGGCCACACCGGAGUACCACCGGCAUGCUGAGACUGUGAGGCGUAGUACCGGGCCCCCAAGGUCACUACGCUGUCUUAGGAGGGUGUGGGUCCUCAUGCCCGUACCUCCCUACACUAUCCGCUAUCAACCUAGUAGUAGUGGCACCGCACUAGUUGGUCGUACAUCCGUCCCGCACCAUAAUAAGGCGAGUGGCGUGUAAGGCUUCCUACGAACCGGUUCUCAGAACAUCUCAGUCCUUAGGGUAACCGAACAGGACAUCUUCACGAGGGGCCAGCCGAUGCCCCUCUCGACGGGACACCCGGCUACCCCGUGCUAAACAGCACCUCCCAUCCCGGUGCUUCAUCCCACGAAGACACUCCACUCCGGGACCUCUCCCUGUCACAUGUACCCGCCACAGGUAUCUCUCAUGGAGAACGCCCAGGUAGCGUUCCCCGGCAAGACUUGUCCCAAGACUCGUCGUAAAUCCUGCUCGGUCGACUCAACCCUCACCACACACCCAAGACACACGCCAAGAUCUCCCCAAGUCCAUUAUCCAUUCCUUAUCCAGUUAUCGGCACCACGUGCCUUAUCCACUCACAUCCAAUCCUCCACAAUGCAUCACAUCACAGAUAUAAUGCGUAGUAGAAGCAGUAGCAAGUAGUAUGCAAGCGUCUAACCUAACAGCGGGUGUGCGAGGGUUAUAGGUUGCAACAAGGCAAUGGCUCACAAGCAUUUCUACCAUGCAACCUAUCUCAAUUCAUUUGCAUAAGAGUAAAGCACUAGCAUCUACAUUAUUGCAUGUCUAAUAGGAUUCUACGAGGUUGGGUGGGACGUGGCACCUGUCGAGUGACAUUUCCAGGAUCCUCAGUUCACUUGUAGUUGUACUCAUCCAAGGUCUUUCUCCUAUCUGCAUGUCCUUCCUUCGACUGGUUCCGAUUCGAUCAUCGCUAACCGAAGCAACUACCUCGUAAACGACAAUCAAGGCGAAACAAUCAAACCACUAGACCUAGAAAGAUCGUGAUAAGAGGCGACAAAACACUGAAGAACAACUACACUAAAAGAGCACCGAAAGGAAAACAACUUAGCCCUCUCGGCGGAUGUCCGAUCCCUGGGCUAAAAGAAACGGGAAUGGUUGUUUACUAAGUACAAGCCAGAGUCUUAGCCUAGCCGGUACUUCCCGGGUUAACUGAGUCAACCUGUACGGCUUUAUUAAAUGGCUUAGACUCUAACUCAUUCUAAGCAAACACCACAACUUACAGUCUUUCGAUCCAAGUGUCAUAGAGAUCGACAGGAAUCGAAAAGGCUAUGAGCACGGGAAGUUCCGGUCUCUCUCAAUCCAUACGCCAUUGUAGUUGGCGAGAGCCAAGAGAGGGUGGAAUAGAGAGAGAAGAAGGGAAAGUGGUCUACUCCUUCCAAUCCACUCGCCAUGGUAAGAGACGGGGAAUCCGAAAGAGUGACACACAAGAACACGAGUGCUCAAACUACUUGUAGGGUACCACAACCUAGGUGCACUAAAUGCACUAAGGCAUCAUUAGGGUUCUUAGCGGUGCGGUUGUCACCACGAGAACCAAGAAAUGCUACGGUCGAAUAGGUACAAGCAUACAAGAGUUUAAACACGAAGAACCAAAAAGGCGGGAAAGGACACGGGAUUCAUCUUCCUUUGAUCCACUCGCCAUAGCAACAGCGGGAAUCGUAGAAAUGGAAUCAAAACACCAAACAAACAAAAGGGCUCAAUCCACAUAUUACUGGAUCUACAGGGAUUGAGAACAAGAGAGAAGAGGAAUGGAGUCCAUACUGUUUCGACCAACUCAUCAUGGAAUGAACGACGGUUGGAUGAAAGAGAUACGACCCCACGAUCCAACCCUACUCAUAGGGUACCACGACUGUGCAUCUAAUCAGCACACGGCUAUUCCUAAGGCCCGUAGCGAUGCGGUUGUCACCGCUAGGUCCGAGGGAAUGCUAUAGUCGAAGUGGUGCAAGCAUACGAGGUGGUUAGGAUAAACACGCGAGAAAUGGGGUAAAGCCGGAUGGUCAUGGCAAGGUGGACUUGCGACCAUUAGCUUCACCCAACGAGUUGGCUUCUGACUGUUCUACAAGGGUUGCUCCUAAUCUGUAUCCCACUAGACUAGAUCACAGAGAACUCGAAGAUGCGGGUAAGAACCGCGUCGUUAUGAAUAUCGAGUCCGCAAAGAUCAAACCCCAGGGACGAGGAUAGGAGCUAACAAGCGUAGCGUGACGAAGUCAACUAAACACGGGGAGACGAGUUACGCUCGGCAUCGCGAUCACGGCAGGACGAACCCACGAUCGAAAUGAUCAAACGCAGUACCACUUCCCCGACCGGCUCGAAGGCUCAGUCCUCAGGCAAAUAACAAAAGAAAGAACGACGACAACCCGAGAAGGGAUAUGCUUGGCACUACGACCAUGGCGAGACAACUCGCGAUCGCAACAUUCAAACACAUCACUCUCUCAACCGGCUCGAAGGCACGGUUCACAACCAACCAACCACAUGACACAAGAACCAACGCACAAAGAACCACAAUGCCGCGACCAACACAAAGACAAAGUAGAGUAGCACAUUUCCAUAGCGACCAACAGAGAUAGAUAAACAGAUAGAUAAACAGACCGGCACGAAGGCACGGCACAGGCAUAGAAUAAAUAAUUCAUGAAUCGACGAGCAUAGAUAGAUGGAUAUCGAUGAUCACUAACAAGUAUAUACAAAGAUACAAGAAUGAAGGGCAAGAGUUUUGUCGACGCCACGAAGGGCGUCAACUCAGUUCAAGGUUCGACCUUGGUGUUGGACGAAGAUCUACUGCGGGCUUGCUGCUGCUCUUGGUUGGCUUCUGCUUGCUGCGGCUCGGCUGGAGGCAGCAGGCAUCGGGAAGGCAUCGAAAGCACGACGAGGCCACUGCUUCCCUGCAACAGUGAAGGUUCACGGCGCGAAGGCCGAUUUCAGCAAGGCGAAACAGGAAGGGGAAACAAGGGAAACUUGGGCACUGGUGGCUCACCGGCGGCAGAGAAGGGCUUGGCGAGGACGAGGUGCUUCGCUGCUCGGGGCUCGACGCAGCACGGCAUUGACGAGGGGAUCUGGUGGGGGCGCUGCUCGACGUCGUGGCUGCAGGGGUUGUGCUUGGUGACGCUAGCAGCACGGCGUCGAGGUCGUUGUUGUCACUGCGGUGCGGCGUCCGCGCGCGACGUCGGGGUUUGGGGCAGAGGUGCUUGACGCGGUGGCGAACGCGCGUUCCCAGCCACGGCGGAGUCCGUGCGUGUCGAGACGGGCGUUUGGGCUUGGCGCAGUCGACUUCGCGACGAGGCGGUGACCGCGGACAGCACGGCAGGACGUGGACGUGGACGCCGGACGGGGUCGCGGGGCUUGGUCACCGCACCGACGUCGUGGACGGAGCUCGGGCGACGUCGCAGGCGGAGCUCGGUGUCGGGGUCAGCAAGGGGCUCGGAGAAGCUCCUGCUCAGCGCGGAACGCUCGGCGUCGACGCUCGGCUCGGCGGCGACGGAUGCGCGAGGGCGAAGCUUGACGAGGUGCUGUCGAAGUCCGGCGUCGCGGCUCGGGUCGAGGACGCACGGCGGUCGUGGCGCUGUCGUGGUGGAGCUCGACGAAAAGGGAGCACUCGCCGCGGCGUCGCUCCUGGACGUGGCGACCGUGGCGAGCACGCGGUCUGAUGGCGUCGUCGCGGCGGCCGGGGCGAGGGCGAGGCCGAAGCUCGGCGCGGCGCGGCGGCUCUGGCUCCGGGGCGAGGUGGUGCUUGGCGUCGCUGGGUGGUGGAGCAGAGCGGCGGCGUCGUGGGGAAGAAGAGGAGAGCGGCGGCUCGGGCUCUUAUACGCGUCGUGGCCUAGGGUUCCAGGGGUGCUAGGCGCUGCGGGCGGUGAUCCUCGGCGUCCGUGCCAUUGGGCGGGCCGCGUGGCGCUCAUCUGGCAGCAGCACGGGUGUCCAGGGCACGAGUGCGGCGCUGCAGGGGCGCGGCGGCGGCGUCUGGGAGCCAGGGGGCGCACCUAGGGUUCCAGGGGUGCUGGUCUUGGGCUAGGUGGGCCUUGGCUGCUGCGCGGGCCGUGGAGUGGAGAUGCGGAGCUGGCUGGGCCGCGCGGUUGGAAGGGGGAUGGCGCCGGUUGGGCCUCUGCCUGGGCCGCGUGGCUUGGAGCUGGGCCACUGGGUGGCUUGGGCCGGUUGCGGGAGGUGGGCUGCGCGAGGGUGCUAGGCCGCGGGGGGGGGGGGGGGGUUGGGGAGGCCGACUGGGCCAGAUGGUUGGUUGGGCUGGCGGUGAGGGAAAAAGAGGGGGAAGGAGUGGUGGGCUGGUUGAGGGGUUGAGCCCAAGAGGAAUAAGAAUGCUCUUCCCAUUUAUAUUUCAAGGAGACAGAGAGGGAAAAGAAUAUUCCAAUUUCUAUUUGGAGAAAGGAAUUGAAGGAUUUUCCACUAUUUGCUAAAAUGAUUGAGCGGGAAAGGGAAAAGAGAUUGAGAUGAGUCACCACGAAUUUAAGAUAGAUUUAGCGGCAGAGAUUUGGUGAUGAGAUCAACAAGAGAAAAGUUUUGGAGAAGGGAAUUUGGAAAAGAGUUCAAAAUGGAUUAAAGGAGUUUGAGACGUACUCCAAUGAAAAGAUUGAGAAAGGAUUCGCUUCGCCUUUGAGAUAGGCUCAACGGAGAUAUGGGAAUACUUUGCUAAGGAUUUGUGCACUCCAAAAGAAACUCAAAACCCUAAACAAGACCCAACUCAAGACCACUCACGAACAAAAGCACUCGCCUAGAAACAAAUCUAUAUGUAUGCCACGAUUUGUUAGCGGGUUAGGAUCGAGUUAGAUCUAAAAACUAUAUGAUUCACACGAUUACAGGAAAAAUUUUAAAAAGCUCGUAUUUUUGGUUUUCGUAAAAAUCCGGGAUGUUACAGUCCACCCUCCUUACAGGAAUCUCGUCCCCGAGAUUUAGGCGUUGCUCGGUUGGUGAAGAAACGAGGGCGUCGUUUCAGAAGUUCUUCUUACUUUUGAGUUGUUUUGCUUUUAGUAUGAUCGCUCCACAAACUUUUUCCAAAAUGGGAGUGACUCUUGUUCCAAGUGUAUGCAAGGCUCACUUGCAGUCGUUGGGCAUCCAAAUUUUCACAUCAGGGCGAUGGGUGUCCAAGAAUCGCACGGGGUUGAUGAACAUCUGGCUCUCAAAGAGUGCAUGGCAGGCUUAAACGUAGCUAGGGUUGUUGGCUUUCAAUAGCUGUUUUUCGUGCAUCACUCUUUGCAAAAAGCUUUUGAAAGGAAUGUUUUUCGGAAAAACAGGUUUCAUAAAUGGAGUGAAAGCGAUUUUACAAAGUCAAAUGGAUUUUAAAGAGAGCUCAAACUGAAAAUAGCUUUUGGAAAGGGUUGAAAUCAGCGCAAAUUUUGAAAACCAAGUUUAUUUAUUUUAUUAUAAUUAUUAUUUUAAGAUUUUUGAUGUAAAAGAUUUCAAAUCAAGAGACUUUGAAACUCUUUUAGUUUUCUAAAUGAGGCGUUGCUCUCUUUUAUUUGAACUAAACAAACUAGUUUUGAAAAUGAUUAGAAAUCAUUUCUCUCUUUUGAAAGAUAAAGCUUUAACAACAAUAACAUUUUCUUUCAAAACUUGUAAGUUCAUUUUGUUUUUGCUAAUUUUUUUUUUUUUUGGAAGGCCGCAAACAAAAUCUUUUUGCAAUGGUUUUUUUUUUAAUAAAUCACUGGCAAUUCCUUUUUCUUUUUAAGAGAAGGUUGAUUUUUAAAAAGGAAUUUGGCUCUCGAGAUAAAAUCAAAGACCUUUAAAACAAAGCCGAGCCAAAUCUUUGGUUUGAAAACCACUUUGUUGUUGAAAAUCAAAACUUUUGUUUUUCUGAAGCGAUUUUGUCAUACCUUUUGAAAGAUAACUUAUUUUUAAAUCAUUUCAUAAAUAGAGUUUGAAUAAAAUUGAGUUGAGAAAAGGGUUAAAAUGGCUCUCUUUGUGAAAACGAAAGAUAUUAAGAUUGUUUUGAAACACUUUUCCUUUUGAAACAAGGAUGCUUUUGUUAGAGAGGGGACAUUUUAACCAAAAGGAGAGAAAAUUUUGAAGACAGGUUCAUUUUGGAAGCCAAAAACAGUUUUGAAAUAGGCGAGCAACACAUGAUGCAACAGCUUUACCUAACUUUUAACUUUGUUAGUCAGGGCCACCUAUCUAGUCUCGGGACGGUCUUAGGUUUAGCCGACUAGGUUGGACGGAAUCCAGAGUUUUUCCCGCGUAAAACAGGUUCUAUGACUUACACUCAGACAUCAAGAAGCAGAAGAAAUGCAACAACAUAAGAUCCAGGCACUCAAACAGCAUUACAACUCCUAAUGCAUAGUGUUGACUUGAGGCGACUCACAGACCUUCAAAGUCUCACACGACUACCGAUCUAGCGUGGGCGGUAAUGGGGAAAGAUCCCAACGGUCAACUUUAUGAAACAGGGAGGUCAGUUAGCAGCAGAAUUCAAGGCGAAGGGGGAAAACAAGUGUUGGCAUCUAUAACUCUACAAAAGAUAGAAUGUUUGGCUUCUAAACUAGUGUUUGGUCCUAAAGGUCUCGUCCUAGGGUCAAGUAUGGCUCUGAUACCAACUGAUACGACCCAGAUUUUUCCACAAAGGGAAAAAUCCACAGAUUCGAAUUAUAAUGUGAUAAUUCAAAAAUUGAACCAUCGCAUUAUCAUAUAUCAGCUGUUAUCGUAGUCAUACAUCGUGAGAAACAAGAUUACAACACAUUUGCUUUACAACUCUUGAUUAACAAGCUUAUUACAUUGUUUUUCUAGCGGAAACACACGCGAGUCUUUAUCAGAGUCGAUGUAGCGCGACAGCGGUGAAGGCUCCUCCUUCACGGACAAUCAUCAGAGUCGGCGUAGUUUAUCAGCGGGCGUAGCCUUCAUCUCUGAACCAAACUUGAGCGCAGGAACGAGACCACCUAAUCCUUCUAUUCUCCGUAGUUAUCGUCAUGUUCAAAACCUGCUAAACAAUUUUCAGUACGAUUUGUACUGGCCACUGGCUCCCACCCUAUGCUUUUGCGUAAGCUUUGUGGUAAGUGGAAUGAAAAAGGGUAGAUCAAGAGGCCUAUAUAUGGCUGUAGUUUUUCCUAUGCAAGUUCAUCAAUAUUUUAAUAAUAAUAAUUCAUCAAGUUUUAAUCCAUCUCAACCACACGUCCAUCCAUCCAUCCAUCCAUCCCAUCACACACAACUUACCACACUCUCACUCUCUAGGCGGCAAGUACGACUCCCGCUCGUGCCUUGCCUCAACGGCCAACGCCGGAUCCAACACAAACCCAGGGGAAGGUAGAAAGGACUCCUCUCACUAGUCAAG
rnacentral:lncRNA from 1 species